AGUGGAAUUGCUGGGUCAUAUGGUAAUUCUAUUUAAAUUUUUUUGAGGAACCAUGAUAUUGUUUUCCAUAGCAACUGUACUACUUUACAUUUCCACCAACAGU
rnacentral:pre_miRNA from 1 species